rnacentral:rRNA from 1 species
UGGGGAAUAUUGGACAAUGGGCGAAAGCCUGAUCCAGCCAUGCCGCGUGUGUGAAGAAGGUCUUCGGAUUGUAAAGCACUUUAAGUUGGGAGGAAGGGCAGUAAGCGAAUACCUUGCUGUUUUGACGUUACCGACAGUAUAAGCACCGGCUAACUCUGUGCCAGCAGCCGCGGUAAUACAGAGGGUGCAAGCGUUAAUCGGAAUUACUGGGCGUAAAGCGCGCGUAGGUGGUUCGUUAAGUUGGAUGUGAAAGCCCCGGGCUCAACCUGGGAACUGCAUCCAAAACUGGCGAGCUAGAGUAGGGCAGAGGGUGGUGGAAUUUCCUGUGUAGCGGUGAAAUGCGUAGAUAUAGGAAGGAACACCAGUGGCGAAGGCGACCACCUGGGCUCAUACUGACACUGAGGUGCGAAAGCGUGGGGAGCAAACAGG